CAGUCGCCACGGGAAUACGAAGGGUGCAAGCGCUAAUCGGAAUUACUGGGCGUAAAGCGUGCGUAGGCGGUUUGUUAAGUCUGCUGUGAAAUCCCCGGGCUCAACCUGGGAAUGGCAGUGGAUACUGGCAAGCUAGAGUGUGUCAGAGGAUGGUGGAAUUCCCGGUGUAGCGGUGAAAUGCGUAGAGAUCGGGAGGAACAUCAGUGGCGAAGGUGGCCAUCUGGGACAACACUGACGCUGAGGCACGAAAGCGUGGGGAGCAAACAGGAUUAGAGACCCCGGUAGUCCCUGUCUCUUAUAC
rnacentral:rRNA from 1 species